rnacentral:rRNA from 1 species
GCUUGCUCUCGGGUGACGAGCGGCGGACGGGUGAGUAAUGUCUGGGAAACUGCCUGAUGGAGGGGGAUAACUACUGGAAACGGUAGCUAAUACCGCAUAACGUCGCAAGACCAAAGUGGGGGACCUUCGGGCCUCAUGCCAUCAGAUGUGCCCAGAUGGGAUUAGCUAGUAGGUGGGGUAACGGCUCACCUAGGCGACGAUCCCUAGCUGGUCUGAGAGGAUGACCAGCCACACUGGAACUGAGACACGGUCCAGACUCCUACGGGAGGCAGCAGUGGGGAAUAUUGCACAAUGGGCGCAAGCCUGAUGCAGCCAUGCCGCGUGUGUGAAGAAGGCCUUCGGGUUGUAAAGCACUUUCAGCGGGGAGGAAGGCGGUGAGGUUAAUAACCUCAUCGAUUGACGUUACCCGCAGAAGAAGCACCGGCUAACUCCGUGCCAGCAGCCGCGGUAAUACGGAGGGUGCAAGCGUUAAUCGGAAUUACUGGGCGUAAAGCGCACGCAGGCGGUCUGUCAAGUCGGAUGUGAAAUCCCCGGGCUCAACCUGGGAACUGCAUUCGAAACUGGCAGGCUAGAGUCUUGUAGAGGGGGGUAGAAUUCCAGGUGUAGCGGUGAAAUGCGUAGAGAUCUGGAGGAAUACCGGUGGCGAAGGCGGCCCCCUGGACAAAGACUGACGCUCAGGUGCGAAAGCGUGGGGAGCAAACAGGAUUAGAUACCCUGGUAGUCCACGCCGUAAACGAUGUCGAUUUGGAGGUUGUGCCCUUGAGGCGUGGCUUCCGGAGCUAACGCGUUAAAUCGACCGCCUGGGGAGUACGGCCGCAAGGUUAAAACUCAAAUGAAUUGACGGGGGCCCGCACAAGCGGUGGAGCAUGUGGUUUAAUUCGAUGCAACGCGAAGAACCUUACCUGGUCUUGACAUCCACAGAACUUUCCAGAGAUGGAUUGGUGCCUUCGGGAACUGUGAGACAGGUGCUGCAUGGCUGUCGUCAGCUCGUGUUGUGAAAUGUUGGGUUAAGUCCCGCAACGAGCGCAACCCUUAUCCUUUGUUGCCAGCGGUUCGGCCGGGAACUCAAAGGAGACUGCCAGUGAUAAACUGGAGGAAGGUGGGGAUGACGUCAAGUCAUCAUGGCCCUUACGACCAGGGCUACACACGUGCUACAAUGGCAUAUACAAAGAGAAGCGACCUCGCGAGAGCAAGCGGACCUCAUAAAGUAUGUCGUAGUCCGGAUUGGAGUCUGCAACUCGACUCCAUGAAGUCGGAAUCGCUAGUAAUCGUAGAUCAGAAUGCUACGGUGAAUACGUUCCCGUGCCUUGUACACACCGCCCGUCACACCAUGGGAGUGGGUUGCAAAAGAAGUAGGUAGCUUAACCUUCGGG